GAGACUUUCACCUCACCCGGAAGUAUUUUCCAUGCGCCCGGAAGUCCCGCUUCCUGUGAGACCUGCACCUUUCCCGGAAGUGUUUCCGGGGGCCCCAGGCAGGAGCUCUGCUAACCAGCAAAUGUUCACACUGGCUGAGGAGUUCCAAGCCUCUGAAACCACCACCAGAAUAGGUGUCUGCAUCGCAGCAGGAGUCAGCGCUGCCGUGGCCCUCAUGUUUAUUUUUGGUGCUUUAACUCUGUUGUGGACAGUCCCAGAGGAAGAGACAAACAACAUACAAUGACUUACACAGGAGAGUUAAA
ensembl:lincRNA